rnacentral:rRNA from 1 species
GACGAACGCUGGCGGCGUGCCUAAUACAUGCAAGUCGAGCGCAGGAAACUGACGGAAUUCUUCGGAGGGAAGGCAGUGGAAUGAGCGGCGGACGGGUGAGUAACACGUAAGGAACCUGCCUCAAGGAUUGGGAUAACUCCGAGAAAUCGGAGCUAAUACCGGAUAGUUCAACGGACCGCAUGGUCCGCUGAUGAAAGGCGCUCCGGCGUCACCUUGAGAUGGCCUUGCGGUGCAUUAGCUAGUUGGUGGGGUAACGGCCCACCAAGGCGACGAUGCAUAGCCGACCUGAGAGGGUGAUCGGCCACACUGGGACUGAGACACGGCCCAGACUCCUACGGGAGGCAGCAGUAGGGAAUCUUCCACAAUGGACGAAAGUCUGAUGGAGCAACGCCGCGUGAGUGAUGAAGGUUUUCGGAUCGUAAAACUCUGUUGUAGGGAAGAACACGUACGAGAGGGAAUGCUCGUACCUUGACGGUACCUUACGAGAAAGCCACGGCUAACUACGUGCCAGCCGCCGCGGUAACAC